CAGUCGCCGCGGUAAUACGUAGGGUGCGAGCGUUAAUCGGAAUUACUGGGCGUAAAGCGUGCGCAGGCGGUUGUGUAAGACAGGUGUGAAAUCCCCGGGCUUAACCUGGGAACUGCGCUUGUGACUGCACAGCUAGAGUAUGGCAGAGGGGGGUGGAAUUCCACGUGUAGCAGUGAAAUGCGUAGAGAUGUGGAGGAACACCGAUGGCGAAGGCAGCCCCCUGGGCCAAUACUGACGCUCAUGCACGAAAGCGUGGGGAGCAAACAGGACUAGAUACCCCUGUAGUCCCUGUCUCUUAUAC
rnacentral:rRNA from 1 species